rnacentral:rRNA from 1 species
UACGAAGGGGGCGAGCGUUGUUCGGAUUUACUGGGCGUAAAGGGCGCGCAGGCGGCGCAUUUUGUCAGGCGUGAAAGCCCCGGGCUUAACCUGGGAACUGCAUUUGUGACUGCAUCGCUGGAGUGCGGCAGAGGGGGAUGGAAUUCCGCGUGUAGCAGUGAAAUGCGUAGAUAUGCGGAGGAACACCGAUGGCGAAGGCAAUCCCCUGGGCCUGCACUGACGCUCAUGCACGAAAGCGUGGGGAGCAAACAGG